AUGGCUCUGGCCGCCGCCGUCGCCGUACCGUUCCUCCUCCACGCUCGCCUGGGACCGCGCUUCGCGCCGGCGCUGUCUCCCCGCCGCCUGCUGUGCUGCUCCACUACCGCCUACGAGCCCCCUCACUCCGCGCGGCCGCCGGCGUCGAAGCAGGCCGAGCCCGUGUCCCAGGUGCCGUGGAGGGCCGCGGAGGCCGAGAUCCUCAGCGACGUCGAACCCGUCGUGCAGCUCAUCAAGGACAUCCUCCAUUCGGACAGAUACGCAGACGGCGAAUGCCUUGGCCCCGCGGACGAAAUCGUUGUUGCGGAAAAGCUCCUUGCCUAUCAUCCACGCGCUGAAGAUAAGAUUGGCUGCGGGCUUGACGGCAUAAUGGUCGAUAGGCACCCGCAGUUCAGGAAGUCUAGAUGCCUCUUCGUCGUUCGCACGGACGGCGUCUGGAUUGAUUUCUCCUACCAGAAGUGCCUCCGUGAGUACAUCCGGAGAAAGUAUCCAUCGCAUGGGGAGCGAUUUAUCCGAGAAAAUUUCAAGCGAACCUGA
rnacentral:rRNA from 1 species